rnacentral:rRNA from 1 species
GCAUAUCAAUAAGCGGAGGAAAAGAAACCAACAGGGAUUGCCUCAGUAACGGCGAGUGAAGCGGCAAGAGCUCAAAUUUGAAAGCUGGCCCCCUCGGGGUCCGCAUUGUAAUUUGCAGAGGAUGCUUCGGGAGUGGCCCCCAUCUAAGUGCUCUGGAACGGGCCGUCAUAGAGGGUGAGAAUCCCGUAUGGGAUGGGGUGUCCGCGACCAUGUGAAGCUCCUUCGACGAGUCGAGUUGUUUGGGAAUGCAGCUCUAAAUGGGUGGUAAAUUUCAUCUAAAGCUAAAUAUUGGCCGGAGACCGAUAGCGCACAAGUAGAGUGAUCGAAAGAUGAAAAGCACUUUGAAAAGAGAGUUAAAAAGCACGUGAAAUUGUUGAAAGGGAAGCGCUUGCGACCAGACUCGCCUACGGGGUUCAGCCGGUAUUCGUACCGGUGUACUUCCCCGUGGGCGGGCCAGCGUCGGUUUGGGCGGCCGGUCAAAGGCCCUCGGAAUGUAACGCCUCUCGGGGCGUCUUAUAGCCGAGGGUGCCAUGCGGCCAGCCCGGACCGAGGAACGCGCUUCGGCACGGACGCUGGCAUAAUGGUCGUAAGCGACCCGUCUUGAAACACGGACCAAGGAGUCUAACAUCUACGCGAGUGUUCGGGUGUCAAACCCGUGCGCGCAGUGAAAGCGAACGGAGGUGGGAACCCUCACGGGUGCACCAUCGACCGAUCCUGAUGUCUUCGGAUGGAUUUGAGUAAGAGCGUAGCUGUUGGGACCCGAAAGAUGGUGAACUAUGCCUGAAUAGGGCGAAGCCAGAGGAAACUCUGGUGGAGGCUCGCAGCGGUUCUGACGUGCAAAUCGAUCGUCAAAUUUGGGUAUAGGGGCGAAAGACUAAUCGAACCAUCUAGUAGCUGGUUCCUGCCGAA